rnacentral:misc_RNA from 1 species
UCUCUCUCUCUCUCUAAUAAAAUAAUAAAUAAUAACGUAGCUCUAGAUUGUUGCUCCUUGUUGGUCUUAUCGCUUUGCGCUUCUUGGCAUUGGCAGGAAUGGACAUGGUUAUGGCUUCUCUCCACUCAUUACUAUCUGAAUUUAGAGUUUCUGCUAAUUCCUUCUUAUCGGAAUACGAACCUCUUGUUUUGCUUCUUGCUCCUUUCUUUACUCUCCUCCUUGCGAGGAUUCUCCGCUCCUUUCUUCGUGUUGUUUAUGAAAAUGGUCUCAGAGCCACCAUUUUAGGGUUUUUUAUGACCUCCAUCAAGAUGGUGCCUUGGGUGAAGAGUUACAUCGAUGCGGAGAAGCAGAAGGUUGUUGAUAAGUUGCAGUCUGGUGGUAAAUCUAAGCGAGAAAGCUGGAGGACUGAGUUGCCAAGAGAAGGCUUAGGAACUGGAGUAAUUGAGAAAAUGAAGGAAGAGAAAAUGAAUGAUGUAGUUUGGCGAGGAAAAUGCUCUGGUACAGUUUACAUUGGAGGAACUGAAUCUGAAGGACAUUUUUCUGUGCUAAAUGAGGCAUGUUCAAUGUUUUCACAUACCAAUCCAUUGCAUUUCGAUAUAUUCCAGAGUGUUGCACGAUUUGAAGCUGAAGUUGUUGCAAUGACAGCUUCAAUACUUGGCAGUAAAAAAAAGGCUUCUGGAGGAGAAAUAUGUGGAAACAUGACAUCUGGAGGAACUGAAAGUAUAUUAUUGGCUGUCAAAUCAUCUCGUGACUAUAUGAAGGCAAAGAAGGGAAUUACAAGGCCUGAAAUGAUCAUACCUGAAUCUGCACACUCAGCAUAUGACAAGGCAGCACAAUACUUUAACAUAAAGUUGUGGCGUGUUCCAGUGAAUGAGAAAUUUCAAGCAAAUGUCAAAGCAAUAAGACGACACAUUAACAGAAACACCAUUUUGAUUGUUGGAUCUGCACCAGGUUUUCCUCAUGGCAUCAUUGAUCCUAUCGAGGAGCUUGGGGAAUUGGCCUUCCAAUAUGGGAUAUGUCUCCAUGUUGACCUCUGUCUUGGUGGUUUUGUGUUACCUUUUGCUCGUCAGCUUGGGUACCCAAUACCACCUUUUGAUUUUUCUGUUAAAGGAGUAACCUCAAUAUCAGUGGAUGUGCAUAAAUAUGGUCUUGCUCCUAAAGGAACAAGUGUAGUUCUAUACAGAAAUCAUGAUAUUAGAAAGCAUCAAUUUGUUGCCGUCACCGAGUGGUCAGGUGGGCUAUAUGUGUCUCCUACCAUUGCUGGUAGCAGGCCUGGGGGUUUGAUAGCUGGGGCUUGGGCAGCAAUGAUGUCACUAGGACAAGAAGGUGUUAGCAUUUGGUUUCCUUUAUUGCUUAUCCUGAUAUUUUAUCCAAUUCUAUAUUUUUAGACUGAUCAUUGUUCCCUUACAUUGUAAAGGGUUCUUGAAGAACGCAAAGGCAAUAAUGGAAGCAUCCAAAAAAUUAGAGAAAGGUAUAAAGGAGAUACCUGAGUUAUUUAUCAUUGGGAAGCCAGAUAUGACAAUCGUGGCAUUUGGAUCAAAUGUUCUAGACAUAUUUGAAGUCAAUGAUAUAAUGUCAUCAAAAGGCUGGCACUUAAAUGCAUUGCAGAGACCUAACAGGUAUGCAAUUUGAGUAGAAACACAUGCAUAGUUAAUGCCAUAGCCAUCUGUGUUGGCGAGUUAAUCUACUAAUCAUUGAUGACACCUGAAAUUAUGAACUCCAUUUUGAAUUGAUUGAUCCCAAAUGGUUGGCCAGUAGCCACUGGUUUGAUAGUUUGUAGCCCUUCUUUUAUUCAGUCUCGUUAGUUGCUUUUGAACAUCAACUUUAGUGGGCACAUUGUUAAAGACUAAUUAUUGUUGCUUUUUGUUGAUGUGGCUAAAUCAGCCUUCAUAUAUGUGUUACCCUUCAACAUGUAUCGGUUAUUGAGGACUUUCUUCAGGAUUUGAGGGAAUCUGUGCAAACUGUAAGUUCUUAACUUUAAAUUAUGAAAUUGGCCUAUCAUUCAAUAAACCCAUUUAUUAAGUAGCAAGUGCUUUAAAGUUUUCUAUUUCUCAUUUGAGAUGAUGGAGAAUGGCAGUGGAGUUGCUUUUAAUGUUUCAAUUGAUUCUUCUUUUCUUGAAUCUUCUUAGGUGAAAGAAAAUCCAGGUCCCAUAAGUGGAGGCCUAGCUCCAAUUUAUGGUGCAGCGGGGAGGAUACCAGAUAGAGUUAUGGUUCAGGAGUUGUUAGUGAAUUAUAUGGACAGUACAUGCUAGAGGAAUUCCCUUUCCUUUGGGUUUAAUUUUUUCUUUUAUUGCUUUCCGUUCCCUUGAUUUGUUGUAUCAGGUAUUCAGAACAUUUUGGUUAUGAAUGAAAUAAACCUCUGCAUAUUUAUAUAUUCAU